UAGGGGAGGGUUAGUCUCACACAAGCUGCCUUGUUAUAGAGGACAUUGGAAACCACUGGAUUAUAUGAAGAAAUUAAGGACUAGAAUCAUUGGUGUAAGAUCACACUGGGGAAAAGUGACAGAACCAAAUUUCAAACUCCAGUCUUUCUGCUUCUAGAGAUUGAACUACUAACAUCUGCAUUAUAUAAAAUUAAGUCUCUCAAGGUAGUUUGUGAAACGUAACAUACAAAUAAGUGAUUAAAAUUUUUGGUGAUA
rnacentral:lncRNA from 1 species